rnacentral:lncRNA from 1 species
AAAGAGUAGAAUCACAAAGUAUAUUUGCAAGAACAAGCAUUAAGCAUCUAUACAUACAAGGCACCAAUCUUAUGACAAAAUAAAAUGAGAAAAAGACCUCUGUUAUGCAACAGAAAGUAGGAUAUGGAGUGUGCUAUUUAACAGCGAUGCAGACUUAAUGUAGUUAAAUUGGGAAUUUGUACUCGACAGGGUAGAACCUUUUGUCAAAGGAUAUAUCUCUAAAUUAUUUGAAACAAAAAAUAGGCUAUCCCAUCAAUCACCAUGGUUCAAUAAUACAGAUAGAUAAAAGAAAAACAAAUCAAUAGCUCGAAAAAGUUAAAGCUUCCUCUAUCUAACGAGUAACAGAUAGAAAAAACAAAUCAAUAGCUCGAAAAAGUUAAAACCUUCAAUUUCCUCAACAACCUAUAGCCUCACCCAGCAAAUCUCAUGCCCUUUCAGCUUAACCUGUAUAAUAUGAAGUUCUAAAUAUUUGAAACAAAAUUCUCAUAAAGGGUAGUUGGUGUUCCCCAGUUUUACGAGUUUAACUUAAAUCUAUAGUUUGAAGUGCCAGUCCUACCACACCAACUGAAAAUAUGCUGUUAUUGCCAAGGUACAUGGGUCUGUACAGCUGUAGUAUCCACCCUAGCCCAUAUUGCUGCAUAGCAACCACUGCCUACGUGUAUUCUUUACACAUCAUAGGCCAAGACACAGAGGUGAAGACCAGAAUCCUACUUUCCUAUUUUAAAAGCAUGUUUUAUAAUCCCCAAUAGCCAUACCACCAGGAGUCAAAGAAACCAUAAGAGACAGCAUGUGGCUAGGAUCUUUAAUCCUCUAGGAGACAUCUUAGGGGUAGAAGGCCUAUAAGAGAAGCCUUUAGAUGUCUGGGAUGAAAUCCAUAAAAGACAACCAGUUGCAAGUUAAAAGGAUUGGUGUAUUUUUCACUUAUGGAAAAAUUCACGAUUUAUUCCACAUGUGGUUCAUCAUCCUCCAUAUCUCAUUAUCAAAGCAUGCCAUGACUAGCAGAUGCCAGGUAUAUAUCCUGUAGCCUACUACCCAUGUUAUGGCUACCUCUCUCCAGACCAGACACAUGCAGUAGGAAUUGCUGUACUUGUGGCAGUAAUAAUGAUAGUUUAUGCCCACGAUGAUACCAAAAAGGUAUAUCGACUACACAAGCCAGCACCAAGACUGGUAUCAUAAGUAUAUCACUAGGUGCACAACAAUAAUGAUAUGCAAGCUAAUGUGUAAACAGAGUUAUGCCCACAACAAAUAUACCACAGCCAUAGACUUUAAGCUUGUAAGAACAGUUAACAUGGAGUAUAGUAGUUAUUUAACGUCAAUCUGUAUGAUAGAUUGCUUCAAAGUUUUAAACUAUGUAAUACAUAAUAAUCAUCCCAAACAUUUAGGAUGUUUUAUAGUUUUACAAUAAUAUGUGAUCCUAAGAAAUUACCUUUAGUUGUUCAAAACAUAUUUAUAUAUCAUAAUAAAGAAGCCUUUAUUGUUCUAAGGUUCAAACAAGAAUUUAAUAAAGAAGUUUGUGUAUCUUGUGACAAGCUAGUGUGACUUUACAUGCCAAUGCUUACUGUUGGCAAUGUAUAACAUAAUAAAUGUACCACACCAGUCCCGAGCCAAGAAAGGUACAAUGCAAGAUAUUUUGGUGUGUUAUCAAUUUGUCAUUACCGAAUCUAGUAGGCAACAAAAUCCUUAGCCAGCAUGAAGAUGAAUCAAUUUUGAGCCAACUAAAGCCAAUGGCCAAACUUGUCAGUCUGUUUCAGGUCUUAAAUUUGGUGGUUAUCAAUUUGUAAUUAAGGGGACAAGCAAGCAGCAAAAUCCAUAUCCGGCAUGAAGUUGAAUUAAUUUUUAAACAACCAAAGCCCAUGACCCAAACUUCUCAGUCUGUUUCACGUCUUGAAGAUUUUAUUCAAUUGCAUUCUACAAAGGUCGCCUAAGAACUGGACCAACCGCAGUAGACUCUACUCACCAAAGAAUAUUUCAAAACAUAGAGUCUGAUCCACAAACACCAAAGCUACAUAAAGCAUAAACAGAAACUGAUCCACCAUAACCUGAAUACCUUCACCAUGUGGUCAAUUUUGGGUCCAAAUAGACACUAACCAACUAAUUCUGGUCAAGCAUAGCCAAUGUGAGUCAUGUUGUGGCUGGCCAUUCAACUUGCACCCUAAUGACGAUUGAGUCUAAGUUAAAUCCAUGCAAGGGAUAGUACUCGCUAGUUUUUCCUCUAAGGCUCUGUUUGCCGGUCCAAUAAGAUUCCCUGCAAAUAUUCUGCUUUAAAAUUUGCUGGAAGUGGAUUGGUGAAAAGAAAUCGGGGCAGCUGGUAGCACAACUACUCCCUUUGCUAGGAUAACCUAUCCCUUUUCCAAAGUGAUCCAUCUUAUCCCUUAAAAACAAGGAUUCGUUGUGUUGCUGGCUGCCCACUCUCUCUUAACCUCCCGACCUC